UAUGGACGCCACAUGUGACUGCCGAACUAUGCUAGUGUGACUAUGGAACUAAGUUUUAAAUUUUAAUUACUUUAAAUUUAAAAACUGACACUCAAUUCACUUACCAAAAAAUUUAAAAAUAUACUUGGAACAAUUUGGGAAAUGUAAAAUGGCAUGUGUGGCUCACACUCAUUCUGGAGAACACUCGUCCAACAAAACCAAGGCAGACGCAAGAGGAAAGAGACUGGAA